rnacentral:lncRNA from 1 species
CAUUUUCUUCUUUCAUGUUCUGAAAUCUUCCAUUUUCUUACAUUUAACUCCGAACCAGAAUUUUUUCAUGACGGAACCACCGUGCCGGAACUCUUCUUCCGCCGUCAUCUUCUUCUCCUUCUGAUGUGAGUCUCCUAUUAAUUUUCUUUGUUCAAUUCAUGCUUCAAAACUAUAAAUUUUUGUUGAAAAUUUUAUAGUGUAAUUGUUAAAUCUGAAAAUUUGUUGUGUUGUUUGAAAUUAUCACCUUACUCAGUUUGUGUUACAAAAUCAAGAGACCAUUUGAAAAUUCUCCACUUCUGUUUUCUAUUUUUAAUCUAUGAAUCACAGAUACCGGAUAUGACACGGACACUUACAUGUCGAUGCCAAUAAUAUUUUAAGAAAAUGACAUAAUUUGACGUAAUUAUAUGUGCAGGUGUAGGACACCUGCGUGUGUUCGACACACCUAAUCCAAGGAGAGUCCAUGUUUCGUGGUUUGAGAUGUAUUUAAUUUUUCCAAGCUAUUCAUUUUGAUUUUGAUUUGGUCUCAAUUCUGACUUUGGGAUAGAUUGAGUAAACUUUAAUCUAUAUAAAUUUAAGAUAAUUACACAUGAAAGACAAGUGGGCAACAAGCUCCGCUAAUGUUGUGAUUAAUUUUUGGUUAAAUCUGAAACUUAGCUCAAUUUUGUUAAAUAUUGGUUAAAUAAUGUGAUUAAUUUCUGGUUUGGGUAUAUAUGUUUGCUGUUGUUGGAUUGUUAUGUCAUGUUUUGGACUGCUGAUCAUCCUCCCGUGCUGUUAGUCGGGAGCUUCACUACCUUAGGGAAGCUUUUUCGCGGUAGUUAGUCCUGCGCGGUUGUAAAGUGUGUUCUUGCAAACACCGUUUUAGGUUAACACUUGAUCAAAAAUGCUCUGAAGUCAAGUCUUAGAGGUAUAGUGAAUAUGUAAAAAGUGGUGAUCUGACCUAAUGGCACUAGGGUCCUAUAUAUAGGCCUUCAUCUAACGGAUAUGGCUAUCAUUUUGCCUAAAGGGUGAGGAGCGGUUAGCACCGCUCCGUCCCUUCGAUGUGUUCCCAUGUGUCCUAUUGUUUCGGACCUAUCCGCUUCUACACGACUUCAUCCAUCCUUAUCUAGGUUAUUUUACCCAUAGGAAAAGCAUGAGCUAGUCUUUUGGGCGUAUUGGGCUUCCUGUUAUAGAGGCGGGUCCAGCCCAACCAAAUUUCUGGGUCUCGCCCAGUCCAAAGUGAAAUCAGUAAAUUUAAGGUGGGGAAGAUAUGUAUUAGGUGUAGAAUUGGGAUAAUUUUUAGUUUUUUCUUAAACAGCGAAUGUCAAUAUUGUUAAUAAUUGUUGGCAUUAUUAUGCUGGGAACGGGGAUCAAACCCUCAACCUCCUUAGCACUCCACUUCUUAACUCCCCCACCUCAGUCACCAAACCAAUCUUAUUCUUAUAUCCAUUGGAUAAAUUGUUUGAUAAUUUGUAUGGCUAUAGGGAUUAUUUGACAUUAAAGCAUGACUUUUAUAUUUUCUUGCAAUUUAAUUUAUGCUAUUAUGAUAUGCUACUGUUUAUUUGCAAUUGUACAUUUGUAAAUAAACAGUAGCAUAUCAAAAUAAGAUGCAGUUUUUGUGGUCAUUCUAUUAAUCUCAAUCUCGAUAAGAAAGAGCUUUCUCCUGUAAUCAACGUUGGUAAUGUGAUUGUGAAGUGUAUUUAUUAAUAUGCUCUAUGCUCUAAGUAUAGCCCUUAAAUCCGAGUUGUCUAAUCCUACGUUUUUUCUGCAGUGUGAUGGCAUUAAACAAUAGCCCAACUAAGCUUCAUUUUCGAGCUUCUGUAUUUUCACGGUGGGAGUGCCUUGGAACACGAGAAAUAAUUGGUACAUGCUAAACCAAACAUACAUUAAGUAGUUAAGAACUUUUGUGUUAUAUGCAUCUGUUUUCGGACUUUGAUCCAAAAGUGUUGGAAUUAGAUUUCUAAAAUUGGUAUCAAUUAUAUUCUCAUGUUGGAUCCAAGAAAUUGUGAACUAAUGGUUAUUCCUUUAUAUAUUCUAAAUUGGUUUGUGAAUUGAGUGUUAGAUAAUACACAUUAGCAAGUCCUUUUGAUAGAAAUGAUGACUAGGUUGCUUAACCUUGGUGAUUUGAUACUAUUUGUGUAGUCUUUUGUUGAUUUACAUUUGUUUAUUUGUAUCCAUGUUUUCUUUUCUUUAUGCUAUCUUUUCUUUAUAAUAAUAAUGAAUGGAAAUAUAACCAUGUUUGGUCUUACAACUCUGUCAGGUUCAACCUUCUACAAUACAUGAAUUUAUUUUGCUUCCUUUCAAUUAAGAACAAAUGAACUACUGAUCAUUUGAUGACAGUAGCCAUUUAACCUACCUGUUAUUCAUACUCUAGAGUUUGCAACAAUAUAGCACCCUUGAAUUUCUUAGAUACCAUAGUGUUCGGUUUUAAGUGUGGCUGGUUAAGUGUGACAACGACUAUAAUGAGUAGAAUGUUGAAUGUAUAAGAUAAGUGAUAUCCAUUAAUCUAAUGUAUUAAGGUUUUGAGUAAAGAUGUGGUGUCUCUCUCGUGGUCUUGGAGCAUUUGGGCCUGUUGUUUCUCUCGUGCCCCUGCACUGUCCAACAAAUAGAUUCAGGAAAACAUGUAUAUAUACCCUAUACUAUCUUGACAAAUCCCUUCAAGCACACCUAUCUCACUGUAAACACUCCAUCAAAUUCAAUAAAGGGCCUUAAGUAAAUGAUUGGCAUACCAUAUAAAGAACAACAUAUGCACUUUUAUACAAG